AACAAGGUCUCCGUUGGUGAACCAGCGGAGGGAUCAUUACUGAGUUACCGCUCUAUAACCCUUUGUGAACAUACCUAACCGUUGCUUCGGCGGGCAGGGGAAGCCUCUCGCGGGCCUCCCCUCCCGGCGCCGGCCCCCACCACGGGGACGGGGCGCCCGCCGGAGGAAACCAAACUCUAUUUACACGACGUCUCUUCUGAGUGGCACAAGCAAAUAAUUAAAACUUUUAACAACGGAUCUCUUGGUUCUGGCAUCGAUGAAGAACGCAGCGAAAUGCGAUAAGUAAUGUGAAUUGCAGAAUUCAGUGAAUCAUCGAAUCUUUGAACGCACAUUGCGCUCGCCAGCAUUCUGGCGAGCAUGCCUGUUCGAGCGUCAUUUCAACCCUCAAGCACCGCUUGGUUUUGGGGCCCCACGGCACACGUGGGCCCUUAAAGGUAGUGGCGGACCCUCCCGGAGCCUCCUUUGCGUAGUAACUAACGUCUCGCACUGGGAUCCGGAGGGACUCUUGCCGUAAAACCCCCAAAUUCUUUACAGGUUGACCUCGGAUCAGGUAGGAAUACCCGCUGAACUUAAGCAUA
rnacentral:rRNA from 1 species